rnacentral:rRNA from 1 species
UGAGUAACACGUAUCCAACCUGCCGUCUACUCUUGGACAGCCUUCUGAAAGGAAGAUUAAUUACAAGAUGGCAUCAUGAGUCCGCAUGUUCACAUGAUUAAAGGUAUUCCGGUAGACGAUGGGGAUGCGUUCCAUUAGAUAGUAGGCGGGGUAACGGCCCACCUAGUCUUCGAUGGAUAGGGGUUCUGAGAGGAAGGUCCCCCACAUUGGAACUGAGACACGGUCCAA